UACGAAGGGGGCUAGCGUUGCUCGGAAUCACUGGGCGUAAAGGGCGCGUAGGCGGCCGAUCAAGUCGGGGGUGAAAGCCUGUGGCUCAACCACAGAAUUGCCUUCGAUACUGUUUGGCUUGAGACCGGAAGAGGUUAGUGGAACUGCGAGUGUAGAGGUGAAAUUCGUAGAUAUUCGCAAGAACACCAGUGGCGAAGGCGGCUGACUGGUCCGGUUCUGACGCUGAGGUGUGAAAGCGUGGGGAGCAAACAGG
rnacentral:rRNA from 1 species